CAACAUCUGCAUGCGUUUUGAUAGCUGUAAUGUAACAUAAACAUACAAAAAGAUUAUUUGCCUUCACAUUGUACAUUUAUCAACGGAGAACUGAUAACUCCACUACAAAUUACACUUCUAUAUAAUUUCCAAGCAGGCUUCAAUGAUAACAGUUUCUUGAAGUACUUUGAAUUGCCAAACCUUUCCACAUGCGGCUGCUAAUAAUCUCUAUAGUAGAUUAGAAAGAGAAAAUACCGUGUCAAAACCUGGAUGGUGAUCAUCCUGUCCCUGACACACGUCCAUUCAGAGCUGAAUGUCGGGCUAGAACCAAUGAGCUGCAGCAGCGGCACCAUUCACCAAAAAACUGCAUAGCGUCCCACUAAACAAGAGCAUCUGACAUAGAAAAAAACUUCAUCAACUUUGCAUCUGACAUCAAAGGACUUCUGUUUAAUAGCAGCUAUACACAGAAUUAGCAAAAUAAAAUAGCUACUUGAGAAGAACAAAAAGCUUAGAUUAGUUUGUACAAAAAAGGCCUUAGUGAUUGUCUCCAAGUACAGAGCGUAGUUUACAGUAUGGAGCAUCCACAUGAGAAGAAAAACCAAACAACUCCAGCGACCUGAACUGAGAUGAUAUAUGCAUCACUCUUCUCUUCCAAACGCCCGAUGACCUUCAUAUGGAUAAUUACAGUACAUAGUUCAUCAUCCAGAUGGCUCAGACUUCAGAAAAAAGGACAGACCCAGUGCAUAGAAGCUCCCACACAAGGUGGGGUCUGGGGAGGGAUUAUAGGAACCUAGUCUUACCCCUGCAAAGUGCAAUGCAGAGAGGCUUCAGACUUCAGACUUCAGACUUCAGAGACAUAGUAAAAAUAAAAAUACAAACAGAGGCAGCCAUGAGUCUGGAGGUUGAGAGAGGGGGUGGAGGAGGGAGUCGGAUCUGGGGGUUGAGAGAGGGGGUGGCCAUGAGUCACCUGCACAAACGGAGGCAGCCAUGAGUCAUCCCCAACGCUGCAUCGUCCGUCCACGCGCUGAACAUAGGGAGCAGCGUCUCCAUGGCCUUCCUUGUUGUGCACAAGCAGAGAUGAG
rnacentral:lncRNA from 1 species